CCUACGGGCGGCAGCAGUCGAGAAUCAUUCACAAUGGGGGAAACCCUGAUGGUGCGACGCCGCGUGGGGGAAUGAAGGUCUUCGGAUUGUAAACCCCUGUCAUGUGGGAGCAAAUUAAAAAGAUAGUACCACAAGAGGAAGAGACGGCUAACUCUGUGCCAGCAGCCGCGGUAAUACAGAGGUCUCAAGCGUUGUUCGGAAUCACUGGGCGUAAAGGGUGCGUAGGCUGUUUUGUAAGUCGUGUGUGAAAGGCGCGGGCUCAACCCGCGGACGGCACAUGAUACUGGGAGACUAGAGUAAUGGAGGGGGAAGCGGAAUGCUCGGUGUAGCAGUGAAAUGCGUAGAUAUCGAGAGGAACACUCGUGGCGAAGGCGGGUUCCUGGACAUUAACUGACGCUGAGGCACGAAGGCCAGGGGAGCGAAAGGGAUUAGAUACCCUGGUAGUC
rnacentral:rRNA from 1 species